UACGUAGGGUGCAAGCGUUGUCCGGAAUUAUUGGGCGUAAAGAGCUCGUAGGCGGUCUGUCGCGUCUGCUGUGAAAACUCAGGGCUUAACCCUGAGCUUGCAGUGGGUACGGGCAGACUAGAGUGCGGUAGGGGAGACUGGAAUUCCUGGUGUAGCGGUGAAAUGCGCAGAUAUCAGGAGGAACACCAACGGCGAAGGCAGCACUCUGGGCCGGUACUGACGCUGAGGAGCGAAAGCGUGGGGGAGCAAACAGG
rnacentral:rRNA from 1 species